CGAAGACAACUAGGAUGUUGGCUCAGAAGCAGCCAUACAUUCAAAGAGUGCGUAACAGCUCACUAGUCGAGAGUCCCUGCGCCGAAAAUGUCCGGGGCUGAAACACAACACCGAAGCCGUGGACUCCGUAAGGAGUGGUAGAGGAGCAUUCUUAAAACCGACGAAGCUGUACCGGUAAGGAGCAGUGGAGGGAUAAGAAGAGAGAAUGCCGGAAUGAGUAGCGAGAGGAAGGUGGGAAUCCUUCCGGCCGAAUAUCUAAGGUUUCCAGAGUAAAGCUGAUCUGCUCUGGGUAAGUCGGGGCCUAAGGAGAGGUCGCAAGACGUAUCCGAUGGACAACAGGUUUAGAUUCCUGUACCGCAUAUAAACAGAACUGUGGGGACGCAUGUGGAAAGCAUAAGCCGGGAAUGGAAAUACCGGUACAAACGGAAGAGGUGUCAGGCUGGCAAAUCCGCCUGGCAAGCCAAAGACGUGAUGUGGAGCGAAAUAAAAGUAGCGAAGUAUGUGAGCCAUGUGCCGAGAAAAGCCGCUAUUGUUUUAUAUGUGCCCGUACCGUAAACCGACACAGGUGGAUGAGGAGAGAAUCCUAAGGCCGACGGAAGAAGCAUUGUUAAGGAAUUCGGCAAAAUGACCCCGUAACUUCGGGAGAAGGGGUGCCCACUGAAUGGUGGGCCGCAGAGAAUAGGCUCAAGCAACUGUUUAGCAAAAACACAGGUCUAUGCGAAACCGAAAGGUGAAGUAUAUGGGCUGACGCCUGCCCGGUGCUGGAAGGUUAAGAGGAGAGGUUAGCGCAAGCGAAGCUUUGAAUUUAAGCCCCAGUAAACGGCGGCCGUAACUAUAACGGUCCUAAGGUAGCGAAAUUCCUUGUCGGGUAAGUUCCGACCCGCACGAAAGGCGUAAUGAUUUGAGCACUGUCUCGACAAUGCAUCCGGUGAAAUUGAAGUACCAGUGAAGAUGCUGGUUACCCGCGCCAGGACGGAAAGACCCCAUGGAGCUUUACUCCAGUUUGAUACUGGGAUUCGGUACUGCACGUACAGGAUAGGUGGGAGACUGAGAACUAUGGACGCCAGUCUGUAGGGAGUCGCUGUUGGGAUACCACCCCUGUAGUACUGGGUUUCUAACCAUCUGCCGUGAUCCGGCAGUGGGACAAUGUCAGGCGGGGAGUUUGACUGGGGCGGUCGCCUCCGAAAGGGUAUCGGAGGCGCUCAAAGGUUCCCUCAGAAUGGUCGGAAACCAUUUGAAGAGUGCAAAGGCAGAAGGGAGCUUGACUGCGACACCGACGGGUGGAGCAGGU
rnacentral:rRNA from 1 species